rnacentral:rRNA from 1 species
GACAGAGGGUGCAAACGUUGCUCGGAAUUACUAGGGCGUAAAGCGCGUGUAGGCGGACUGGUGUGUCGGAUGUGAAAUCCCCAGGCUCAACCUGGGAACUGCAUUCGAAACUGCCAGCCUUGAGUGGUGGAGAGGGAAGUGGAAUUCCUGGUGUAGAGGUGAAAUUCGUAGAUAUCAGGAGGAACACCAGUGGCGAAGGCGGCUUCCUGGACACCAACUGACGCUGAGACGCGAAAGCGUGGGGAGCAAACAGG